UGGUGGGGAGUUUGACUGGGGCGGUCUCCUCCUAAAGAGUAACGGAGGAGCGCAAAGGUUGGCUCAGCACGGAUGGAAACCGUGUUUCAGAGUGUAAGAGCACAAGCCAGCUUUACUGCGAGUCCGACAGGACGAGCAGUCUCGAAAGAGGGCUCUAGUGAUCCUGCGAUCGCGUGUGGAAGCGUCGUAGCUCAUCGGAUAAAAGGUACUCCGGGGAUA
rnacentral:rRNA from 1 species